rnacentral:rRNA from 1 species
AUGAACGCUGGCGGCGUGCCUCAUACCUGCAAGUCGCGCGAACAGACGAGGAGCUUGCUCCUCUGACGUUAGCGGCGGACGGGUGAGUAACACGUGGAUAACCUACCUAUAAGACUGGGAUAACUUCGGGAAACCGGAGCUAAUACCGGAUAAUAUAUUGAACCGCAUGGUUCAAUAGUGAAAGACGGUUUUGCUGUCACUUAUAGAUGGAUCCGCGCCGCAUUAGCUAGUUGGUAAGGUAACGGCUUACCAAGGCGACGAUGCGUAGCCGACCUGAGAGGGUGAUCAGCCACACUGGAACUGAGACACGGUCCAGACUCCUACGGGAGGCAGCAGUAGGGAAUCUUCCGCAAUGGGCGAAAGCCUGACGGAGCAACGCCGCGUGAGUGAUGAAGGUCUUCGGAUCGUAAAACUCUGUUAUUAGGGAAGAACAAAUGUGUAAGUAACUAUGCACGUCUUGACGGUACCUAAUCAGAAAGCCACGGCUAACUACGUG